UCCCUUCGUGAGCGCCGCGGCCGCCGGACUCUCGUUGUACCCCUGUACAUAGCCCCGCUCCACGGGCGCCCCGGAGCGACCCCCGUCUGUGCUUCCCCCGCCCCGGCCCCGGCCCCGCCGCGCUCGCGUAGGAUUCCCCGCCCCGUCCCGGUUUAACGCGCCGACACUUCGCUGGAGUCCCGGGCUCUUUUCCAUGAUGUUACUUUUGUCAUUUGUUCCUCCUGGGGGGCUGGUGGUCGGGCAGGUGAGUCCCCGUGGGGCAGGUGAGCCCUGUGGGCCAGGUGAGCCCUCUGCCUCCUCGGGGCAGGUGAGCCCUGUGUCACCAUGGCACAGGUGAGUCCCUGUGUCCCCGUGGGGCAGGUGAGUCCCUGUGGGGCAGGUGAGUCCUGUGUCCCCAUGGGCCAGGUGAGUCCCUGUGGGGCAGGUGAGCCCCAUGUCCCCGUGGGGCUCUGGGGCAGCACAGAGCAGCUCUCACACGGGCAGUGCUGGCGGUUACAUCCCAACUCUGUAAGGUGGGAGAAGGGAGCGCAUUAAAGGUUGUCCCUCGGUGUGAGCUGCCCUCUGUGUGUGUGCCACCCUGGUGCUGGCCGGGCACGGGGGGCCCUGGCUGCUGCCCUGGUGCCCCCGAAGCUGGGAAGAUGGAAGCAUCCCCUCGCCUCUCCUCGCUGCAUCCGGCUCCUGUUGAUAUGCUGUAGAUCCGUGCCCUUGUGCCCACUCUGAGUACCAUGACGUAGAGUUAGAGAUGACGAGUGUUUUUAUUACAUCUACUGUAAUCCUGGCUAACCACCUGCUAGCAGGAUAUAGUAAUGUAGUGCUUAUUCUGUGAAUAGUACCUGGGUUUUUUACAUUGUACAGUCCCUGACACGGUUCCCCGGCAGUGGCAGGCAUGCUCCACUCACACAACACUUGCUGUAAGCAAUACCUCGUGGUAUGGGAAUUCUCUUUCAAGCCCUAAAACUAUUUCAACUUACAGCUUGUUUGGGAAAAAAAAAAGAUAUUUCCAUUUUUUUUGUAAAAAUAUAUGUUUCCUGAUUACCUCUUGCUAAUAAAUCUAUUCUAUCUCAGGGUGAACCGGGGUUUGUGAUAGUUU
rnacentral:lncRNA from 1 species